rnacentral:rRNA from 1 species
AUGAACGCUGGCGGCGUGCCUCAUACAUGCAAGUCGAGCGAACGGACGAGAAGCUUGCUUCUCUGAUGUUAGCGGCGGACGGGUGAGUAACACGUGGAUAACCUACCUAUAAGACUGGGAUAACUUCGGGAAACCGGAGCUAAUACCGGAUAAUAUUUUGAACCGCAUGGUUCAAAAGUGAAAGACGGUCUUGCUGUCACUUAUAGAUGGAUCCGCGCUGCAUUAGCUAGUUGGUAAGGUAACGGCUUACCAAGGCAACGAUGCUUAGCCGACCUGAGAGGGUGAUCGGCCCCACUGGAACUGAGACACGGUCCAGACUCCUACGGGAGGCAGCAGUAGGGAAUCUUCCGCAAUGGGCGAAAGCCUGACGGAGCAACGCCGCGUGAGUGAUGAAGGUCUUCGGAUCGUAAAACUCUGUUAUUAGGGAAGAACAUAUGUGUAAGUAACUGUGCACAUCUUGACGGUACCUAAUCAGAAAGCCACGGCUAACUACGCG